GCCGAAUUUCAUCGAACUUACCACACUAGUGGGUCCCACAUUCGAUAUACACUCAUAAUUUCACAUGAACUAACUUAUACUAGAAAAAUGAUUUAAAAAACUAUAUUUUCUCAUAAAAAUCAUCUGGGGAAUUUUCUAAUAAAGAAAAGGUAUAAAAGUGUGCAAUUAAAUAAAAUAAAACCUAGAAAUUCAGAAAAUUUUCGGGUCCUCACAUUAGAUAUGUAUGUUGGGUAGGAAUCUCAAAAGUGGUUAAUUUCCUCUUGAGCAUAGCUAAAUCGAGUGGGGAAAUGAUCAUAUUUUCGGAUUCUUGUAUCCGAAUACCAAAGAGUGAUACCUUUAUGAUAAGUCGAUAUCCCGAGUAAUAUGAGAGUAAGUUUGAAUGGCGAAAGCCAAGGCACGAGGAAUGCGAAUAGUCUGGAUUUUGGAUAUAUUGAAGAUAUUAGUGUGAUUGGGGACCCUGAUUAUUCACGCGUACAUACUUGGUUGUACUUCGUCAAGUUUUGCCUGAGCAAUAUCUAGGGUUAAUGUCCCGUAGGAUGUUUGAAUUGCUAUGAUAUAUACAAAGAAAGUGUGUUAUUUUCAAUGUGUUUUAUUAAUUUUCAUUUUAUGAUUUGAAAAUACUUUUAUUGAACCUUAUAGCUAUUUUAUUUUGCUUAUACUUAUUUACGAAUAAAUAUAUGAAUUCACGAAUAAAUGAAUGAAUUUCGAGAAUGAAAUUCUUUUAAGGAGGGGAGAUUGUGAUACCCCGAUUUUUAGGACAAUGUUUUUCCCUCGUUCUUUUAAAAUUUCGAUUUAUUUCUUUUGUUUUUUUUUCAAAACACUGUUUUCUUUAAUUGGACACUUUAAAUUUAAAUCAAAAUCCUAGUUUUACUUGUGACUAAAAGGUUAUUAUGUAAUUGAGUUUAUGUAUGACAAUGCAUAUUUUAUUAUAGGUAAUUAUAAUGGUUGGGUGGUUAGUAUAUUAAUGAGGUGUAAUUAAGCUUGUGGAUUUCAUUAAGUUAGUGAUCUAUGGAGUUAAUUGGAAAGAUUAAAAGAAGUUGGGGUCAUAGUGUGAGGAUUAGCAAAGUAAGAUUUUUAGUAACAUCAAAGCUUCUAGGAUCUUCCUAAGCUUAAAUUUGAUUGGUGGAGAAAAAGUCUAAGUUGACCAUUGGCUUAAAUAUCUUCUAUUGUUAGUAAAUGAAAAACAAAGCCAAAAAUUAAAAGGAAAAAAGAGAGAGAGGGCCGAGAGCUCUAUGGGAGGUUCAAGAGGAAAAGUUUCAACUUUGGUUUCUUGAUUUCUUGCUCAAUCUUGCAAACUAACCGAUAGCUUCACCAAAUAAUCCAUAGAAAUUGCUUCGGAAGGUGGAUUGCUAUCUUGGAGUGGAGUGUUUUGGUAGUUCAAGCUUCCUAGGGGUUGUUGUGCUUCUCUAAUGCUUGGUAAGGUUGGUAUUAGUUCAUGUUUGUGUACUUUAUUGGUUUACAAGUGAAAGUUAUGGCUUGUUUAGGUAGAUUUCAUGAUUUUAGUAGUGGUUAUAGUAAAUUCUAGCCUUCUAGUGUAAUUUUCAGUUUUGGUUGUUGAAAUGGAUGGUUGUUCUUGGUGUUCAUGUUGUGGUAAUGCUUAUGCUUAGUGUAUGGAAGUGAAUUCAUGGUUAAAAAUUGUUGGGUUUGUAGCAUAUAAAAUUUCGGUCAGCAAGAAAGGUGAUUUGUAAAAAUUGAUUUCCAGUUUUAAUGAUGAAAUCAUCGUGUUUCUGACCGUGUCUUUUAGUCCAUGAUAGAGGCCGAAUCAGCCUUAGAUCAAAACAGGAAAGUUGUAGGAAAUGAUGCUUUAUAGCUGGCUACAAAAUUUUAGCUCAAUCGGAGUACUGUAGCAUGUGAAAUGACCGAAAUACCCUUGACUGCCCAUAAGCCCUGUUUCGCGGACAGUUUUCUGUUUUCGUGGAGAUUUUGAUUUUUGACCAUGAAAAUGCAUGAUUUGGCUUUGGAGUCUUCAUAAGGAAUGUAGGUACAUGUCUUGGCUUCGAAACGCCAUAAGAUUCGUUUCAAUCCGAUAAGUAUAGCUUCGGUUGUGGUUGUUAUGCCGGAAGGUGUUUUAUCGCCUAUAAUUUGUAUGUGAAAUUGUAUUUGAUUUGGGAUGAGAUUUGGUAUUUGAUUGUAGGAUGAAAAGUGAAGAAAUUAUGGGGAAAUGCUGUCCGUUUAUUUUCUUGAAGUUUGAAUAAGUAAAAGUGAGAUUUGAAAUGUGAUUUGGGGAUGCGUUGGACUUACUUUUCUUAGACUUACUUAGGUCCACUUUAAUGGUGUUACUUCAACUAGAUUCCAUUUGAACUUGUACCAUUUCACAUGGUGAAUGUGACAACCGUUUUAAGCAUGAUACUUGGUUACAGAUGUCAAGUUUUGAAAUUCAAAUGUUUACUCAUUUUCUUUCCGAAACAAAGAAGAAUUGCCUAGGGUUUCUCGCACGCAAAACCUAAUUUUAUCAAGCGAGGUUUUAGGUGUGCAUCUAGGGUUUGUUUAGCUUCCUUUUCAUUUGAUUUUACCCAAGACACUCGUUAUACGUUAUUUCUUUGCAUAUGUGUUAGUUUCGAGCCAAACAAAAAGCUUUACGAAAAUUUGAAAAAUUGACUUUUCAUAUCCGGCCGUAUAUCCGGCCAACUCUUGGCCGGAUUGAGAGGGGAAGAAGAAAAAAUUUGGAAUGCUCACUGCCUUGAAUCCGGCCGGAUUCUGACAUGGCAAUGUUCAUUUAUUUUUCAAUGGAAUUUUCUAAAAACCUUUUUAGCAUGGUUUUGUGUUUGAUUUGGGAAAACUCUUAGUUACUCAUGUUUUCUGAUCUAAAUCUACUCUUUUCCCUUUAAAACUCAUAUUUAUAUAUUACACUAGUACGUAUUUGGAUUCUCUUUGAAUCACUUAGGUUUUUUAUGGUUGAAAUAUAAUGUGUUCUUUUGAUUACUAUUAGGGUUCCUUGGUAAUUGAGGGUAUUAUCCGGAAGGAUACUCUGGACGUUAUUUUGCUUAAAUAGGUGAGUGUUUUUUGUUUGUUAUGUUUCCAUUAACUAUAUGAUUUGUUGUGGAUAUUUGAUUAAAUAAUAAAUCUUCGUUAAAAAUGAAUUUUGCUAGGCGAGUUUGUACUUUAUCGCACUCGACCUAAAUGAAAUGUGAAAUUUUCAAUGUUUAAGUGAUUAAAUGUUAGUUGUGCAUGAAUGUAAGCCUUUUGGCUGACUUGGGCCCUUGCCCUUCGUUGCUGGUCGACUCGAGACUGAAGCGGACUCGGUCGGGCGAUUUGGUGACCCUGGGUGAAAGUUUGGUAUACUCAAGUAUUACCACGUUGUUGGGUGGAGUCUGGCCAAUGUCCAGAAAGGGGAAGAAUGAAAUGAAUGAACGAGCGACAAUGUCAAUGGAGGGGUUUUCACUUACAAAAUGCAUUUUAAAAUGAUUAGAGGAAUAAGGAAAUGAAAGGUGAAUGAAAGAAUGAAAGACUCUAUGUGAGCAUGUAUCCUUUUAAUGAAUAUGUUAUCAUUGCUUCAUAUUGUAAAUGUUUUCUGGAUUACUUGUUAUUACAUGAUUAAUGUCCUUGUUUAAGUUGAUUAUGUGUCUGGAACCUUACUGAGUUUUUAGCUCAUUCCGUUAGCUUUGUUUUCCUUACAGGGGCUACGAGCGAGGGUGUGAGAUCUAUGUAGACUAGUCUGGAUUAGUUCUUUUGAAUUUUGUUUUGUUGAUUUUCUCACGCUAGUGCUUAAAUAGGGUUGGAUGUAUUAAGAACUGAGAAAUUUCGUUUUCUUUGGGAUUGCAUAUUAUUUUGAGAUAGAAAUGAAUGUAAGUAUGCGUUUCAAGUUUGGGAAAUGUUGUUUUGUUAUCCUUGCGGUUAUUUCUUAUUUCUUUUGAAGAGUUUGAGUGAGUCUGGCGAGAGUUGGGCAGGCGGUCCGCCGAACCCUUUGGUUCGCCUUAGGGGGAUGUGGGGCUGUCACAGGUGGUAUCAGAACUCCUAUCGAACUCGUGCCGGGAGAGGGUUCUCGGACUGUGGGGAUUGGCUUGUUAAGUGUGGAACAAUUGUCUAUUGUUGGGGAUUUUAGAUAUGUAUGUUGGGUAGGAAUGUCAAAAGUAGUUGAUUUCCUCUUGAGCAUAGCUAACUCGAGUGGGGAAAUGAUCAUAUUUUCGGAUUCUUGUACCCGAAUACCAAAGAGUGAUACCUUUAUGAUAAGUCGAUAUCCCGAGUAAUAUGAGAGUAAGUUUGAAUGGCGAAAUCCAAGGCACGGUGAAUGCGAAUAGUCUGGAUUUUGGAUAUAUUGAAGAUAUUAGUGAGAUUGGGGACCCUGAUUAUUCACGCGUACAUACUUGGUUGUAUUUCGUCAAGUUUUGCCUAAGUAUUAUCUAGGGUUAAUGUCCCGUAGGAUGUGUGAAUUGCUAUGAUAUAUACAAAGAAAGUGUGUUAUUUUUAAUGUGUUUUAUUAAUUUUCAUUUUAUGAUUUGAAAAUGCUUUUAUUGAACCUUAUAGCUAUUUUAUUUUGCUUAUACUUAUUUACGAAUAAAUAUAUGAAUUCACGAAUAAAUGAAUGAAUUUCGAGAAUGAAAUUCUUUUAAGGAGGGGAGAUUGUGAUACCCCGAUUUUUAGGACAAUGUUUUUCCCUCGU
rnacentral:lncRNA from 1 species